AUUGAACGCUGGCGGCAGGCCUAACACAUGCAAGUCGAAUGGUAACAGGAAACAGCUUGCUGUUUCGCUGACGAGUGGCGGACGGGUGAGUAAUGUCUGGGAAACUGCCUGAUGGAGGGGGAUAACUACUGGAAACGGUAGCUAAUACCGCAUAACGUUGCAAGACCAAAGAGGGGGACCUUCGUGCCUCUUGCCAUCAGAUGUGCCCAGGUGGGAUUAGCUGGUAGGUGGGGUAACGGCUCACCUAGGCGACGAUCCCUAGCUGGUCUGAGAGGAUGACCAGCCACACUGGAACUGAGAAACGGUCCAGACUCCUACGGGAGGAAGCAGUGGGGAAUAUUGCACAAUGGGGGCAAGCCUGAUGCAGCCAUGCCGCGUGUAUGAAGAAGGCCUUCGGGUUGUAGAGUACUUUCAGCGGGGAGGAAGGGAGUAAAGUUAAUACCUGUGCUCAUUGACGUUACCCGCAGAAGAAGCACCGGCUAACUCCGUG
rnacentral:rRNA from 1 species